AAUAGAUACCCUGGUAGUCCAUGCCGUAAACGAUGUCUACUAGCCGUUGGGGGCCCUUGAGGCUUUAGUGGCGCAGCUAACGCGAUAAGUAGACCGCCUGGGGAGUACGGUCGCAAGACUAAAACUCAAAUGAAUUGACGGGGGCCCGCACAAGCGGUGGAGCAUGUGGUUUAAUUCGAUGCAACGCGAAGAACCUUACCUGGCCUUGACAUACAGAGAACUUUCCAGAGAUGGAUUGGUGCCUUCGGGAACUCUGAUACAGGUGCUGCAUGGCUGUCGUCAGCUCGUGUCGUGAGAUGUUGGGUUAAGUCCCGCAACGAGCGCAACCCUUUUCCUUAUUUGCCAGCACUUCGGGUGGGAACUUUAAGGAUACUGCCAGUGACAAACUGGAGGAAGGCGGGGACGACGUCAAGUCAUCAUGGCCCUUACGGCCAGGGCUACACACGUGCUACAAUGGUCGGUACAAAGGGUUGCUACUGCGCGAGCAGAUGCUAAUCUCAAAAAGCCGAUCGUAGUCCGGAUCGC
rnacentral:rRNA from 1 species